GAGCUCACUUCGGUAGUACAUACACUAAAACAGGAAUGUUAUCGAGAACAUUAGCAUGUCCCCUGCAUGAGGAUGACACGCAAGUUUGUGAAGCAGUCCAUGUAUUU